rnacentral:lncRNA from 1 species
CAAGCAAGAAGGUUAAGAAGAAGGCAAUGAUGGCACAAUGGAGCAAUAAUGAGGACUCUAGCUCUGACGAAGAAGCACAAAAAGUUGCCAACCUUUGCUUGAUGGCUCAUCAAGAGGAGGUAAAUGUUGAAAUUUCCUUAGAUUUUACUUUUGAUAAGUUACAAGAGACAUUUAUAGAUCUUUUAAUUGAAUUUAAUGAAG